GGCAGACAGCAUGAGUGUUCAAGGUGAGUCGAGGUGGCAAACUGGAGGCAAGUCAAGCUGAGGGGAGUUAAAUCGAGGUGAGAUGGGGUGAGUCGAGGACAGGAGGUGAGCUAAGCUGAGUUGAGCGUGAAACUGAGUGGGACGGAGUCGAGCUGAACCGAAGGGGGCUGAGGUGAGUCGAGGUGAAGGGAGCAAACUAGUUGACAUAAGGUGAGCUGAGUCGGGUUGACUGGGUUCAGCCGAGCUGCGUUUCAAACUGAACCGAGUUAUCCUGCAUUGAGCCGCACGGAGCUGUUGUAAACCGAGCGGAAAUGGGCUGAGAGGGGUUAGGUGGGGAACUCAACCGAGUUGAGGCUACUGCCAACUGAGUGAGAUGAGUUUUGUUGAGUUGGCUUGACUUGAGGAGUUGAGUCAAAUCAAGUUCUGGGCCGCCAUGCAUGCCAUUCCCUUCACCUGAGGCUCUUCUGCUCUCUCUCCAACUGGCCAACUCCUCCAGACAGUCGCCACCCUCAACCCCAGGUCAAGACAGAACUUCGGCAGCAGCCCAGAAGGCUCCCCCAUCCCCCUUCCCAAGCAAUAACUCCUCCACCCACAAAAGGAACCACUGUUUUGACUUCUAGAUUCGUCUGACCUGUUCUCGGACUUCCUAUCAGAGCAAUCACACGGUACCUGGUCCUU